rnacentral:rRNA from 2 species
GAGUUUGAUCCUGGCUCAGGACGAACGCUGGCGGCGUGCUGGCUACGGAGCUACUAAUGUUAGUCGACGACUCUGGUAUUGAUUGGUGCUUGCAUCAUGAUUUACAUUUGAGUGAGUGGCGAACUGGUGAGUAACACGUGGGAAACCUGCCCAGAAGCGGGGGAUAACACCUGGAAACAGAUGCUAAUACCGCAUAACAACUUGGACCGCAUGGUCCGAGUUUGAAAGAUGGCUUCGGCUAUCACUUUUGGAUGGUCCCGCGGCGUAUUAGCUAGAUGGUGGGGUAACGGCUCACCAUGGCAAUGAUACGUAGCCGACCUGAGAGGGUAAUCGGCCACAUUGGGACUGAGACACGGCCCAAACUCCUACGGGAGGCAGCAGUAGGGAAUCUUCCACAAUGGACGAAAGUCUGAUGGAGCAACGCCGCGUGAGUGAAGAAGGGUUUCGGCUCGUAAAACUCUGUUGUUAAAGAAGAACAUAUCUGAGAGUAACUGUUCAGGUAUUGACGGUAUUUAACCAGAAAGCCACGGCUAACUACGUGCCAGCAGCCGCGGUAAUACGUAGGUGGCAAGCGUUGUCCGGAUUUAUUGGGCGUAAAGCGAGCGCAGGCGGUUUUUUAAGUCUGAUGUGAAAGCCUUCGGCUCAACCGAAGAAGUGCAUCGGAAACUGGGAAACUUGAGUGCAGAAGAGGACAGUGGAACUCCAUGUGUAGCGGUGAAAUGCGUAGAUAUAUGGAAGAACACCAGUGGCGAAGGCGGCUGUCUGGUCUGUAACUGACGCUGAGGCUCGAAAGUAUGGGUAGCAAACAGGAUUAGAUACCCUGGUAGUCCAUACCGUAAACGAUGAAUGCUAAGUGUUGGAGGGUUUCCGCCCUUCAGUGCUGCAGCUAACGCAUUAAGCAUUCCGCCUGGGGAGUACGGCCGCAAGGCUGAAACUCAAAGGAAUUGACGGGGGCCCGCACAAGCGGUGGAGCAUGUGGUUUAAUUCGAAGCUACGCGAAGAACCUUACCAGGUCUUGACAUACUAUGCAAAUCUAAGAGAUUAGACGUUCCCUUCGGGGACAUGGAUACAGGUGGUGCAUGGUUGUCGUCAGCUCGUGUCGUGAGAUGUUGGGUUAAGUCCCGCAACGAGCGCAACCCUUAUUAUCAGUUGCCAGCAUUAAGUUGGGCACUCUGGUGAGACUGCCGGUGACAAACCGGAGGAAGGUGGGGAUGACGUCAAAUCAUCAUGCCCCUUAUGACCUGGGCUACACACGUGCUACAAUGGAUGGUACAACGAGUUGCGAACUCGCGAGAGUAAGCUAAUCUCUUAAAGCCAUUCUCAGUUCGGAUUGUAGGCUGCAACUCGCCUACAUGAAGUCGGAAUCGCUAGUAAUCGCGGAUCAGCAUGCCGCGGUGAAUACGUUCCCGGGCCUUGUACACACCGCCCGUCACACCAUGAGAGUUUGUAACACCCAAAGUCGGUGGGGUAACCUUUUAGGAACCAGCCGCCUAAGGUGGGACAGAUGAUAGGGUGAAGACGAAUCAGGUAGCCGUAGGAGAACCUGCGGCUGGAU